GAGAGCACAGUACGAUGAAAGUUGUGAGCUAUGUUCGGGGGGGGUUAUUGUCUAUCAUUGGCCUCUAUGGUAGAAUCAGUCGGGGAGGCCUGAGAGACGGUGGUUUACCCUAU
rfam:Picea glauca, whole genome shotgun sequence.